AUUGAAAACUAAGAGGUAGUUAUAUGCUUUGUUUUGAGAGUAGUUAGCUAGUAUUGAAAACUAAGAGGUAGUUAUAUGCUUUGUUUUGAGAGCAGUUAGCUAGUAUUGAAAGCUAAUAGGUAGUUAUAUGCUUUGUUUUGAGAGCAGUUAGCUAGUAUUGAAAGCUAAUAGGUAGUUAUAUGCUUUGUUUUGAGAGCAGUUAGCUAGUAUUGAAAGCUAAGAGGUAGUUAUAUACUUUGUUUUGAGAGUAGUUAGCUAGUAUUGAAAGCUAAUAGGUAGUUAUAUACUUUGUUUUGAGAGCAGUUAGCUAGUAUUGAAAGCUAAGAGGUAGUUAUAUACUUUGUUUUGAGAGCAGUUAGCUAGUAUUGAAAGCUAAGAGGUAGUUAUAUACUUUGUUUUGAGAGCAGUUAGCUAGUAUUGAAAACUAAGAGGUAGUUAUAUACUUUGUUUUGAGAGUAGUUAGCUAGUAUUGAAAGCUAAGAGGUAGUUAUAUACUUUGUUUUGAGAGUAGUUAGCUAGUAUUGAAAGCUAAGAGGUAGUUAUAUACUUUGUUUUGAGAGUAGUUAGCUAAUAUUGAAAACUAAGAGGUAGUUAUAUACUUUGUUUUGAGAGUAGUUAGCUAGUAUUGAAAGCUAAUAGGUAGUUAUAUACUUUGUUUUGAGAGCAGUUAGCUAGUAUUGAAAGCUAAUAGGUAGUUAUAUACUUUGUUUUGAGAGUAGUUAGCUAGUAUUGAAAGCUAAGAGGUAGUUAUAUACUUUGUUUUGAGAGUAGUUAGCUAAUAUUGAAAACUAAGAGGUAGUUAUAUACUUUGUUUUGAGAGUAGUUAGCUAAUAUUGAAAACUAAGAGGUAGUUAUAUACUUUGUUUUGAGAGUAGUUAGCUAGUAUUGAAAGCUAAGAGGUAGUUAUAUGCUUUGUUUUGAGAGUAGUUAGCUAGUAUUGAAAGCUAAUAGGUAGUUAUAUGCUUUGUUUUGAGAGUAGUUAGCUAGUAUUGAAAGCUAAGAGGUAGUUAUAUACUUUGUUUUGAGAGUAGUUAGCUAGUAUUGAAAGCUAAGAGGUAGUUAUAUACUUUGCUUUCGGGGUAGUUAACUGAAAUUGAAAGCCCCAAACGCUCUCCCAGGUGUAGUUUUCAUAGUGUGCGUGAUUAGAUGUUAAAAUAUAAAUUCGUUCACUGCCUAACGACGUAACAGUCAUGGCGGGGUUACCAGACGCUGUUCGGCCACUUCUCUGAACUAUGUGAACCGUCCCGGCGAAGCUUCGAACCACUAAACUAUCGAUCAGAGGUUCGUGCAUUCCUCCUUGUUCAAUCCUCUCUCUCUCUCUCUCUCUCUCUCUCUCUCUCUCUCUCUCUCUCUCUCUCUCUCUCUCUAUCAUUUCCUCCCCUCCCCUUUCCUUUUCCUUUUCUUCCAUUUCCCUUCCUUUUCCUUCCUCACCUUUC